rnacentral:rRNA from 1 species
GGGGGGCUCGCAAAUGGCGCGCAGCCUGAUGCAGCCAUGCCGCGUGUAUGAAGAAGGCCUUCGGGUUGUAAAGUACUUUCAGCAGUGAGGAAGGCGGGUGUGUUAAUAGCGCAUUCGUUUGACGUUAGCUGCAGAAGAAGCACCGGCUAACUCCGUGCCAGCAGCCGCGGUAAUACA